rnacentral:rRNA from 1 species
GACGAACGCUGGCGGCGUGCUUAACACAUGCAAGUUGAACGGACCACCUUCUCGGAUCCUUCGGGUGAAGAAAAGAAUGGUUAGUAGCGGACGGGUGAGUAACACGUGGGCAAUCUGCCCUUUAGACUGGAAUAACACCGGGAAACUGGUGCUAAUACCGGAUGAGAUCCAAUUGCGGCAUCGCAUAUGGAUGAAAGGAGGCCUCUCUAUAGAAGCUCCCGCUAAAGGAUGAGCCCGCGUCCCAUUAGCUAGUUGGUAAGGUAAUGGCUUACCAAGGCAACGAUGGGUAGCCGGCCUGAGAGGGUGAACGGCCACACUGGGACUGAGACACGGCCCAG